GAUAAGCUUCUAUUGAUCUUUUUAUUGAGAUCAAUUUUUUCAUGAGCUAGGCCUCCUGAUGAGCCUCUGUUGAGCUUUCUAUUGAGGUCAAUUUUUUCAUGAGCUAGGCCUCCUGAUGAGCUGUUGACCUUUUUGUUGAGGUCGAUUUUUUUAUGAGCUCAGCCUUCACCCUUCUAAUAAGAUCAGCUUUUUGAUGAGCUAGGCUUUCUGAUGAAUCCUUGUUGACCUUUCUAUUGAGAUCGGUAUUUUCAUGAGCUAGCCCUCUUGAUAAGCCUCUAUUAACCUUUCUAUUG
rnacentral:lncRNA from 1 species